GAUGAACGCUGGCGGCGUGCCUAAUACAUGCAAGUCGAGCGAACGGACGAGAAGCUUGCUUCUCUGAUGUUAGCGGCGGACGGGUGAGUAACACGUGGAUAACCUACCUAUAAGACUGGGAUAACUUCGGGAAACCGGAGCUAAUACCGGAUAAUAUUUUGAACCGCAUGUUUCAACAGUGAAAGACGGUCUUGCUGUCACUUAUAGAUGGAUCCGCGCUGCAUUAGCUAGUUGGUAAGGUAACGGCUUACCAAGGCAACGAUGCAUAGCCGACCUGAGAGGGUGAUCGGCCACACGGGAACUGAGACACGGUCCAGACUCCUAAGGGAGGCAGCAGUAGGUAAUCUUCCGCAAUGGGCGAAAGCCUGACGGAGCAACGCCGCGUGAGUGAUGAAGGUCUUCGGAUCGGAAAACUCUGUUAUUAGGGAAGAACAUAUGUGUAAGUAACUGUGCACAUCUUGACGGUACCUAAUCAGAAAGCCACGGCUAACUACGUG
rnacentral:rRNA from 1 species